CCUACGGGAGGCAGCAGUGGGGAAUUUUGGACAAUGGGCGCAAGCCUGAUCCAGCAAUGCCGCGUGAGUGAAGAAGGCCUUCGGGUUGUAAAGCUCUUUUGUCAGGGAAGAAACGGUGGGAGCUAAUAUCUCUUGCUAAUGACGGUACCUGAAGAAUAAGCACCGGCUAACUACGUGCCAGCAGCCGCGGUAAUACGUAGGGUGCAAGCGUUAAUCGGAAUUACUGGGCGUAAAGCGUGCGCAGGCGGUUUUGUAAGGCUGUCGUGAAAUCCCCGGGCUCAACCUGGGAAUGGCGAUGGUGACUGCAAGGCUAGAGUUUGGCAGAGGGGGGUAGAAUUCCACGUGUAGCAGUGAAAUGCGUAGAUAUGUGGAGGAACACCGAUGGCGAAGGCAGCCCCCUGGGUCAAAACUGACGCUCAUGCACGAAAGCGUGGGGAGCAAACAGGAUUAGAUACCCUGGUAGUCCACGCCCUAAACGAUGUCUACUAGUUGUCGGGUCUUAAUUGACUUGGUAACGCAGCUAACGCGUGAAGUAGACCGCCUGGGGAGUACGGUCGCAAGAUUAAAACUCAAAGUGAAUUGACGG
rnacentral:rRNA from 1 species